rnacentral:rRNA from 1 species
CGCUGGCGGCGUGCCUAAUACAUGCAAGUCGAACGGUCUUUCUAUGGAAGCUUGCUUCCACUGAGAAGAUAGUGGCGAACGGGUGAGUAACACGUGGGUAACCUGCCCAUAAGAGGGGGAUAACAUCCGGAAACGGGUGCUAAUACCGCAUAGUUUUCUUGAUUGCAUGAUCGGGAAAGGAAAGACGGCCUUUGUGCUGUCGCUUAUGGAUGGACCCGCGGCGUAUUAGUUAGUUGGUGAGGUAACGGCUCACCAAGACGAUGAUACGUAGCCGACCUGAGAGGGUGAUCGGCCACAUUGGGACUGAGACACGGCCCAAACUCCUACGGGAGGCAGCAGUAGGGAAUCUUCCGCAAUGGACGAAAGUCUGACGGAGCAACGCCGCGUGAGUGAAGAAGGUUUUUCCGGAUCGUAAAACUCUGUUGUCAGAGAAGAACAAGUUGGAGAGUAACUGCUCCAGCCUUGACGGUAUCUGACCAGAAAGCCACGGCUAACUACGUGCCAGCAGCCGC